rnacentral:tRNA from 1 species
UAUAUUUAAUUGUUUAUGCAUUUAAGAUUUUGAGUCUUAAGGAUUAGAUUAAUUCUAAAAAUAUAA